rnacentral:rRNA from 1 species
CUUGGUCAGGUUGAAGUUCAGGUAACACUGGAUGGAGGACCGAACCGACUUACGUUGAAAAGUGAGCGGAUGAACUGAGGGUAGCGGAGAAAUUCCAAUCGAACGUGGAGAUAGCUGGUUCUCUCCGAAAUAGCUUUAGGGCUAGCCUCAAGUGAUGAUUAUUGGAGGUAGAGCACUGUUUGGACGAGGGGCCCCUCUCGGGUUACCGAAUUCAGACAAACUCCGAAUGCCAAUUAAUUUAACUUGGGAGUCAGAACAUGGGUGAUAAGGUCCGUGUUCGAAAGGGAAACAGCCCAGACCACCAGCUAAGGUCCCAAAAUAUAUGUUAAGUGGAAAAGGAUGUGGCGUUGCCCAGACAACUAGGAUGUUGGCUUAGAAGCAGCCAUCAUUUAAAGAGUGCGUAAUAGCUCACUAGUCGAGUGACACUGCGCCGAAAAUGUACCGGGGCUAAACAUAUUACCGAAGCUGUGGAUUGUCCUUUGGACAAUGGUAGGAGAGCGUUCUAAGGGCGUCGAAGCAUGAUCGCAAGGACAUGUGGAGCGCUUAGAAGUGAGAAUGCCGGUGUGAGUAG